GAACGCUGGCGGGUGCCUAAUACAUGCAAGUAGAACGCUGAAGGAGGAGCUUGCUCUUCUUGGAUGAGUUGCGAACGGGUGAGUAACGCGUAGGUAACCUGCCCGGUAGCGGGGGAUAACUAUUGGAAACGAUAGCUAAUACCGCAUAAUAGUAGAUGUUGCAUGACAUUUGCUUAAAAGGUGCAAUUGCAUCACUACCAGAUGGACCUGCGUUGUAUUAGCUAGUUGGUGAGGUAACGGCUCACCAAGGCAACGAUACAUAGCCGACCUGAGAGGGUGAUCGGCCACACUGGGACUGAGACAUGGCCCAGACUCCUACGGGAGGCAGCAGUAGGGAAUCUUCGGCAAUGGACGGAAGUCUGACCGAGCAACGCCGCGUGAGUGAAGAAGGUUUUCGGAUCGUAAAGCUCUGUUGUAAGAGAAGAACGAGUGUGAGAGUGGAAAGUUCACACUGUGACGGUAUCUUACCAGAAAGGGACGGCUAACUACGUGCCAGCAGCCGCGGUAAUACGUAGGUCCCGAGCGUUGUCCGGAUUUAUUGGGCGUAAAGCGAGCGCAGGCGGUUAGAUAAGUCUGAAGUUAAAGGCUGUGGCUUAACCACAGUACGCUUUGGAAACUGUUUAACUUGAGUGCAAGAGGGGAGAGUGGAAUUCCAUGUGUAGCGGUGAAAUGCGUAGAUAUAUGGAGGAACACCGGUGGCGAAAGCGGCUCUCUGGCUUGUAACUGACGCUGAGGCUCGAAAGCGUGGGGAGCAAACAGGAUUAGAUACCCUGGUAGUCCACGCCGUAAACGAUGAGUGCUAGGUGUUAGACCCUUUCCGGGGU
rnacentral:rRNA from 1 species